AGCUAAUACUUGCUUUAGCACUCUUGAUUUAUUUCUUGAAUGUGUACUUGUUAAGCCUUAUAAGAAAAGAGUUAUUAACUUAAGGAAUUAUAACAAAGAAGUAACACGUAAUGGAUUCUUCCAUUUUUUAGUGUGUAUCAAUCGAGUUUCUGACCUAUCAGCUUUUGAUGUUAGGGUAUUGGCCUAACAUGGCUAUGACGGGUAACGGGGAAUUAGAGUUCGAUUCCGGAGAGGGAGCCUGAGAAAUAGCUACCACAUCUAAGGAAGGCAGCAGGCGCAUAAAUUACCCAAUUCUAAAGAAGAGAGGUAGUGACAAGAAAUAACAAUACAAGGCCAAUCUGGCUUUGUAAUUGGAAUGAUGGGAAUUUAAAACCUUCCCAAAAUUCAAUUGGAGGGCAAGUCUGGUGCCAGCAGCCGCGGUAAUUCCAGCUCCAAUAGCGUAUAUUAAAAUUGUUGCAGUUAAAACGCUCGUAGUUGAAUUUCAAAGAAUCGAUAUUUUAAGUAACGCUUCUAGCUAUAAAUCCACAUAACUGAUGCCUCCGCGUAUCGACUUUGUGCGCAUUUUAGCUAUUAUGUGUUCUUUUAAUUAAAAUGAUUCUUUUUAAGAUUCAUCUAUUAAAAAUUUGCCUCGGCAUAAUUUUUUUUGAUGAUCUUGUUACUUUGAGUAAAUUAGAGUGUUCAAAGCAAACAGAUAUAGCAUUUGUGCGUUUGAAUACUACAGCAUGGAAUAACAAAAUUGAACAAGUCAGAAUUUUUUUGUUCUUUUUUCUUAUUUUGGCUUAGUUACGAUUAAUAGGAGUAGCUUGGGGGCAUUUGUAUUCAGAUGUCAGAGGUGAAAUUCUUAGAUUUUCUGGAGACAAACAACUGCGAAAGCAUUUGCCUAAAAUACUUCCAUUAAUCAAGAACGAAAGUUAAGGGAGUGAAGACGAUCAGAUACCGUCGUAAUCUUAACCAUAAACUAUGCCGACUAGGCUUUGGAUGAAAGAUUUUAAAAUAAGAGUUUU
rnacentral:rRNA from 1 species